rnacentral:rRNA from 1 species
UGGGUAACACUAACUGGAGGACCGAACCCACAUCCGUUGAAAAGGCUGGGGAUGACUUGUGGAUAGGAGUGAAAGGCUAAUCAAGCUCGGAGAUAGCUGGUUCUCCUCGAAAGCUAUUUAGGUAGCGCCUCGUAUCUCACCAUUGGGGGUAGAGCACUGUUUGGGCUAGGGGGUCAUCCCGACUUACCAACCCCAUGCAAACUCCGAAUACCAAUGAGUGCAAUUACGGGAGACACACGGCGGGUGCUAACGUCCGUCGUGGAAAGGGAAACAACCCAGACCGUCAGCUAAGGUCCCAAAGUUACAGUUAAGUGGGAAACGAUGUGGGAAGGCUUAGACAGCUAGGAGGUUGGCUUAGAAGCAGCCAUCCUUUAAAGAAAGCGUAAUAGCUCACUAGUCGAGUCGGCCUGCGCGGAAGAUAUAACGGGGCUAAAACUGUACACCGAAGCUACGGAUGCAAGAUUUAUCUUGCAUGGUAGAGGAGCGUUCUGUAAGCCGUUGAAGGUCAAGCUGUAAGGCAGGCUGGAGGUAUCAGAAGUGCGAAUGUUGACAUGAGUAACGAUAAGGGGAGUGAAAA